GAUGAACGCUGGCGGCGUGCCUAAUACAUGCAAGUCGAGCGAACAGACGAGGAGCUUGCUCCUCUGACGUUAGCGGCGGACGGGUGAGUAACACGUGGAUAACCUACCUAUAAGACUGGGAUAACUUCGGUAAACCGGAGCUAAUACCGGAUAAUAUAUUGAACCGCAUGGUUCAAUAGUGAAAGACGGUUUUGCUGUCACUUAUAGAUGGUUCCGCGCCGCAUUAGCUAGUUGGUAAGGUAACGGCUUACCAAGGCAACGAUGCGUAGCCGACCUGAGAGGGUGAUCGGCCACACUGGAACUGAGACACGGUCCAGACUCCGACGGGAGGCAGCAGUAGGGAAUCUUCCGAAAAGGGCGAAAGCCUGACGGAGCAACGCCGCGUGAGUGAUGAAGGUCUGCGGAUCGUAAAACGCUGUUAUUAGGGAAGAACAAAUGUGUAAGUAACUAUGCACGUCUUGACGGUACCUAAGCAGAAAGCCACGGCUAACUACGU
rnacentral:rRNA from 1 species